GUCUGCAUUAUUUAUAAUUAGACAGACAACACAUCUACAGUGAGAUUUUGUUUUGUUUACAAGGAAAGAAAAACAAAAGUUAAAAAAGGGAGAUGUCAUAUAUGUUGUAUAUAUAUGUAUGUGCUGCGGUUGUUUUAAGAACGUUGCGACAGCUGCCGUAAAGGAGUUGAAUUCCCGAGCAAGGCAGAGCAAACAGUCCCACUCCCGGCCACCAGGGGGAAGAUGCCGAGAGUGUAGGAUGUUUACACUUCCUGCGACUCAGUGGUCCAGCAUUUGAUGGAUGUGAGGACAUGAGUGCCGCAGAGGGGCCAGAAUGAAGAGAGUGUCCAAAGGAAGUGCAGGAAAAAGGGAAAAUAAAGAG